AAAUCCAAAUUGAUAUAUGAAAAUCUUCAUAAGUAAUAACAAAAAUAUCACCAGUUAUUUGUUAUGUGUUACUCAAAAUAACCGAAACAAAGUGAACAAAUAGCCUCCUGGAUAAUCGAACUGAAAAGUGGAUUAGCAGAACAUUGGACUCUAAUCUUUGCAUUGGAUUUGCUGUAAAUAAAAAUUACUAAGGCAGAAGCAGUAAUGGCAGCAGCAGCCGAAGCGACAUGACUGCUGCAUGAAAUGCAAAAACUUUGAAAAAAUAAACAAAACUUUUUGCAAACCCAUUUGAAAAACAUUGAAAAUCUCAUUAACUCCAAAUUCAGGUAAGAUUUGAUGAUGACAUAAACAAACAAUAUAGGAAAAUUAAUCAUCAACACAUUUUAAGGUAAAAGUUUUAUAGACACUU